AUCUAUUGUUUCUGUUGGAUAUCAAGAAAAUGAGUUAGUAAAGUAGUAAUCAUGUUUAAUGCUAAUCAAUUUGUCGCAUGCAUUCACUUAUUCACUUAUAGUUAUUUUGUCUCAUAAAACUUUAUAUUGUCAUUAUUCUCAAUGUAUUCAACAAUUCAGUGUAUAAAAACUUUAGAAGAAAGUUACUACGUCCAUUCACAUAACUGAAUAUGGGAGGUCUCGAUUACAUUUUUUUUCCUCCUCCUUUUUGGUCCACAGUGGUCCUCAUUUGAAACAAAUGCCUUCCGCUUAAUAACUAGUGGCUUAAUUGUGCUAUGUAUUGUUUUGCAGGGAGAGUUCCAACACUACAAAAGGGAAAUAGAAUGGAAAAUAUAUUUAGUUUUCCAUGGUCGAAAGAUAGUCCUAUUGUUCUUGGACCGAGAUUUAAGGAUGCAUUCCAAGACCCAAAUUCAUACCUUGCCAUAGAGCCCAUCUUUGAGAAAGAGAGGUAAGAUGGUCUCAGCUUU